rnacentral:rRNA from 1 species
GAUGAACGCUGGCGGCGUGCCUAAUACAUGCAAGUCGAGCGAACGGACGAGAAGCUUGCUUCUCUGAUGUUAGCGGCGGACGGGUGAGUAACACGUGGAUAACCUACCUAUAAGACUGGGAUAACUUCGGGAAACCGGAGCUAAUACCGGAUGAUAUUUUGAACCGCAUGGUUCAAAAGUGAAAGACGGUCUUGCUGUCACUUAUAGAUGGAUCCGCGCUGCAUUAGCUAGUUGGUAAGGUAACGGCUUACCAAGGCAACGAUGCAUAGCCGACCUGAGAGGGUGAUCGGCCACACUGGAACUGAGACACGGUCCAGACUCCUACGGGAGGCAGCAGUAGGGAAUCUUCCGCAAUGGGCGAGAGCCUGACGGAGCAACGCCGCGUGAGUGAUGAAGGUCUUCGGAUCGUAAAACUCUGUUAUUAGGGAAGAACAUAUGUGUAAGUAACUGUGCACAUCUUGACGGUACCUAAUCAGAAAGCCACGGCUAACUACGUG